rnacentral:lncRNA from 1 species
ACGGAUUAUCAAAAAAUUCUGCUAGCUACAAGUGUUUUAGCGACAAAUUAGCGACGAUGUUCGUAGCUAAUUUCAGUUUUUUUGUAGUGGAUGUCAUAACAGUAUAAAAAGUCACACAUGCCAUUUUCCCGAAAGCGCCGAUUGGAAACGAUAUUUAGUUUUGAAAGAGGGAUUUUUGUUACCAUAUUAUUUUUUAGGUAAGGGAAAUUCUAAUUUCACCCAUGAAAAACACGAAAAUGGCUUUCUCUUGCACAUCAUCUUCCUUUAAGCAUCUGAAGCACAAAUGUGGAGAGAAAUAAUAUCUUUAGAACACUUAAACUCCUCCAAGAUUAAUAUAUAUGGGGAUGUUGUCUUACUAUUUCUAACUAUGGUUUUCCGUUUCUUCUUUUCGUUCCUUUUUCUUUUUAUUUUUUAUUUUAGGACUAUGGAGAGUAGAAAGCAAAUCAAAGGAGGAUGGAAAGUUUGGGUGGCUAAAGAGACAUCAUCAAAGGGAUGAAAAUCAAGGAAAAUGCACGACAGGAAAAGAAACGAACAAUUUUAUUGGAUUAGAAUGGAGGAACCAUAGUAAUAUAAUAAAAUCAUGCACGAAAAUGCUUGAAACAAUUCCAAAUUGACAGUUGCCUUUAUUAUCUUCAAAUAGUUUCAUUGCUCUCUAACAAAUUCUUCAUCCAGAGAUCAAUAAUACAUCACUUCUCUUUAUGAUCAAUAUUCGGAAUCAGAAGAAAGGUAAUCUGUUGUGCAAACUCUGUUAGCUUGAAUUUCUUUAUUUGUAGCUUUCUUUGAUAUCCACAAUCUCAUUCAGUGUGAGUAUCUAAUUUUAUAUAUAGCCUUUAGAACUUUCCUCCGUAAUUUGUCAAGAGCAAAUGCACUAAAAAUAUUACUCUUAUUUUACUAUUGCUGCAAUUGUACUUUUAGUUUAUGCGCUAACCUCAUUGCUCAGACCUCUAAGAUUUUGUUAUACUUGCAUAUCCAUGAGACUAGCCCUCAAUAAAAGUUUUCUGCGUGAUAUUUUCUUUAAACAGAGUUAUACAAUAGUGGUAUAUCUUCAUCUUUCUGUAUAUUCUUCAUAGUUUUGAUAGUAUUUUUCAUCACUAACUUAUAUCUCCUAAUUAAAAUGGAUUUUGCAUAAAUAAGCACUAAUUAAAUGGGUUUGGUGAAACAUGAUUUAUUAGUAAAUUUUCCCUCAAGUAGUUGAUAAAAUUUAAGACUAAUAAAUUUCUGUUAUUGUGAAAUCGGAACUUCUUUCAUUCAAUAUGAAUAAUGAAUUUAAAAUGGUGGACAGAAGCUAAUUAACGAUAAUUAUGAUUAGGACUUAACAUAUUGAUUAAAUUUUAAUUGUUUAUCUUUGUAGAUUCAAACGAUAUCCAACUACCCUCAACAAACAAGUCAACAUACGACACACAAAAUUUUGUGCUUUAUUUUUCGUGUAUAAUUAUUUAUUCAAAUUUAUUGAUAUUAUUUGAUGAAAAACAUAUAUUACAUAACUUGAUAUAUGCGUCCAAUGCACGUGCCAAGAGACAAUAUUUUAGGAACAUAUUUUGUAAUAACGGAUGCCUUGAAUUGGAAUUCCACGGGAAAUAUAGCUCUUCUAAUUUCAUUUGAUAUGCGUCCAAUAGCAUUGGAGGUUCAAUCAUUGGCUAAUCGACGUUUCAUGGUGGAUGUUUCAGUAUCGGGUAGAAUUCUUCCUUGUGUUGGUUGCACAGUUGUAAUUGCUUGAGCAAAUCACAUCCCACCAGCAUAUUGAUUCACAUUUCCUUGUACUUAUGGUGGAGGUUCAGAAGGAGAGGCUUUCUCCGUGAUUAUUUGUCAAGUAGCUGCAUGUUAUAUGUUGAUUACAAGAGUCUUAGGUUAAAAUUGAGCUAGCAAAAUAGAUGAAAGAAACAUACACCAUGAAUGUCAUCUAUAAAGAAAUAGUAGGUAUCAACUAUGAACGCUUCAUUACGUGUAUGUACCUUAUAAAGAAAAAUAAGUAAAAACUCA